GAUGAAGAACGCAGCGAAAUGCGAUAAGUAGUGUGAAUUGCAGAAUUCAGUGAAUCAUCGAAUCUUUGAACGCACAUUGCGCCCCUUGGUAUCCCGAAGGGCAUGCCUGUUCGAGCGUCAUUUCACCACUCAAGCCUGGCUUGGUGUUGGGCGACGUCCCCUUUGGGGACGCGCCUCGAAACGCUCGGCGGCGUGGCACCGGCUUUAAGCGUAGCAGAAUCUUUCGCUUUGGAAGUCGGGGCCCCGUCUGCCGGAAGACCUACUCGCAAGGUUGACCUCGGAUCAGGCAGGGAUACCCGCUGAACUUAAGCAUAUCAAUAAGCGGAGGA
rnacentral:misc_RNA from 1 species